rnacentral:miRNA from 1 species
CAGGAAGGAGACAGGCAGUUCA